rnacentral:lncRNA from 1 species
GUAUUCGCAUUUGAAGCUGGUGUUAUGGAUGGAUACAACAUCUCGGCAUUAAAUAUUCUCGGCUGCAAUCUUCAACCUAAGACAUAUGUACAACAUUCCCUCAUCCAUGCAAAAAUACAACCGUAGUUGCAAUCUGCGAUCCUCCUCAUAUGGCCAAAAACGUUAAAAAUCUGUUUGCAGAUUACAAAAUCAUUAUAUGGCCCAAUAAAGGUGUUAUUAGAUGGUAUUAUCUUGAAGAACUCCAUGAAAUUAAGUCCAAACAUGAUUUUAGCCUUGGUAAUAAGCCAAUGGGACGCCAUAAUUCAUUUAAAAAUUGCAGAAUGAGAGUAAAAUUAGCUGUUCAGUUAAUUUCAGACUCCGUCGCUAGAUCAUUGAAAUGAGCUCAUGAAAACAAAAUUUAUGGGUUUGAAAGUGAAGAUGUUCCUGUUAUGCCAGAAUUUCUUGAAUUGCACGAUAAGAUUUUUGAUAGUAUGAAUAGUAGAUGCAAGUACGGCUACAAAUUAUAAGCAGCACUGUCUCCAACCAAUAUAGUUCAAGCGGAGGAAAUAUUCAAAAAAAAUCAUUCAUAUUUAUGAAGUUUUAACAAGAAGUGAAGGAAUUAAAAUAAUUGCUUCUAGGCGACGCACUGUGCCAUUAGGCUUAAUUGCCUACAUAUAUUCUCUAAUGCAUCUUGUGGAACUAAUAAAGUCUGGUGAAAUAAAUAUGCAAUAUAUUUGUUCUCAUAAACUUCCGUAAGACCAUUUGGAACAUCUCUUUGCUGCAAUCAGACAAAGGAAUGGAUGGUGUUUCAAUCCAAGAUCGAAACAAUUUAGAAAAAUUCUCUGCCAUACUAUUAGAGGAAUCAUUCAAAAUGUCAACGGUCAACUGGUAUUCCACAAGAUGAAAGUAUCUUGUUAACUGUGGGCAAUGUUAUUGAUGAACAACGUCAGAUCAUUGCAAUAAACGAUCAAAACGACUCUACAGACACGUUUUGAAUUAAACUGCGGCAAUGACGAAGUAAAUUUUAAAACAUCUCACUUAAGAGCUUCAGACUGCAGAAUAUGUAGCGCAUCAAUUUCAUACAUUGGAGGAUAUUAUGUAUAUGUACUGCAAAAAAAAAUUAAAUGUA